UGGUUUUAUGCUGAAGCGCACUUUCUGCUACCUGGGCAUGUCAAUAACAAAAAUAUCGUUUACAGGGGCACAUCGGGUAGUCUUGCAGAGAAUGUCACACCCAGUGCGCGGCAUGUGUAGCCAUUUGCGUACGAAAUGUUCCGGACGAAUAAGGAAACGAAUAUCAAACGGUCACAAAGACUUGAAUACAAAACUUGCCUCCGACCAGUCCACAUUCUUCUUUGGUGUCAAACCACAUUUGUCAUGAAUGAACGAGGUUGAUUGACUAUGGGCAUCUAUAGCCAUGCACAGUUAUAUACACUAAUACAAAUAGGCUGCAUUUCAACUUAAUUAUUUUGCAGUUUAUACAACCUUCCGCCAGCAACACUUCCAGGAUCAUAUCGGCUGAUGUGAGUCAUUCCAUAUAGAUAUCCGACGGGAUAGGAAAUGACGUUUCCAAUAAUACUUCAUGAUUUCUUAGCUUUGUUUACAAUCCUCCCCCAUGUACUCGUAUAUAUCUGCACAUUUUCAAUGUGUACUUCACAGUUGUAAAGUUUCAGGUUCUUUGGAGAAUAAAAGGGGCUAAAUAUAAUUCAGUAUUAAAAUGAAAUUUAUUCCGAAAUUAGCGCCUCUUGAAA